UUCCGGCCAAAAAAAUAUGAAGUUUAUGGCUUUAUCGGAUCCAUCACAGUCGUGGUUGUCACAGUGAUUUCAAUAAUAUGGGCAUAUGUUCGUAACCGUGGCUAUUGGUUGGAGUUUGUGGGAAUCUUUUACUACCAAAGCAGGUAUUGGGCGUCAUCUGUGCCGAGUUAUGUAAUGGCAGGAAUUGUACUAGCAAUUGGAAUAUAUACAGGGCUGAGCUUUCUAGCUACUCCUCCUCCUACCUCCUUGAAGUCGAUGUUUGAUGAAUACAGUAACGAAGCACUGAGUUUUCUCCUUCCAGAAAACGAAGACGAUGAGCGCAUCGAACCAAUAUCGGAUAUUAGCAAUUAUUGAAACAUGUUAAUGAAAUAUUCAAUAAUCCAACAUGAUAUAACCUUGUUUUGGUUACUGUUUUUAAUACCAUAAUCUCAUUCUA